AGCAUCCGUGUGAUCGGAGCCUGGGUUCUACUGGAAGGAAAACGACGUCACGGUCCGUCUGAGGCUUCCGACACACAGACCUGGCUCCUCUCGCCUUUUCACACACUUACUUCCUCAGUUUUCAAGGCGUGUGCCGAUAAUCGGUUAGUCAGAUAUCACAGUAUACAGCAUACACAAGACAGACGACCACUGUUCUGAUUAGCAAAGCUGAGACGCUAGCAGCGUUGCUGUACGAAUAGGAAGCCAGUUUGUGGUGACCUAGCGGAACAGAUUAUCAUUUUUGGCUAAAUUUGAAAUUAUAUCGUAAAUCACACACAGAAAAAUGAUUUAUCGGCACAUGCCAACUAUUUUCCUCCUUCCUCUUCAUGUAUACAUUUUCUUUUUACUUUAAAUUUCCUCCUCUUGGUCGUGUUAUUGAUAAGGGUGGAGCUUAAGUUAAACUAUCAUGACAAGGUCACAAUAUUUCUUGGUGCUUGUUAGUUAGCUAGCUUGCUUGAGAAACACCGUGAUUUAUUUUGUCAUGCCAUAUUAACGCUAGCAAAUAUUGUUAUUAUAGCUACGUUCAUGUAGUUAGCUAGUCAAGGUGACAAAUUACGUUAGACACGAUAUCUUACGGAUUUCGCCUUAAGCUCCACCCUUUUGUGUAUAUAAUGUAAAUUUUUUCUUUAUUUUUCUGAAACAAUCCCCACCCCCUGUUUUUGUUGCAAUGCCUUAAACUGUACAGUGAACAAUUUUAUCACGACUUGCUAGCUCACAUGAGUGUGCAUCAACAAUCUGGGCGCAGACCCGCCCUCAGCUGUGGGACAUUUCCACUCGGCUCUGUAUAUACCAUUUCCGUGCUAGGGCAGUUUUAAGGUAUUAUCAAAGUUUGCGAGUUGUUUUAGCAGAAAAGGACGUUAGCCCCGCCCAUGCUCCAUCCUUCUCUCCACCAGCUACGGCAGACAAGUGGGCACAAAGACCCUGCAGACACUGAGGGCGGGGCUAGUGGAAGUAUUUUUUUGUUUGUUUUGAGAAGAACAAACUACAUUAAACAGAAAAUAAAAAUUUUAAAGGGUGAAGCCGUUUCCUGUUUGGAAUAUUUUGGUUGCUUGUUCACUGUUUAAAUAUCAAAAAGGGACAUGUGUACAUUGGGUUUUAAUGUAACGUUUUAGGAAUAGUUUCACUUUAUAAAAGACAGAUUUACUUUUGCAGAUUUUUCCACAGACUAAUAUUUGAAAGGAAGCUUAGAACCAUCACUCAAGUUUUAAGAAUGUUACUCUAAG
ensembl:lncRNA